UGAGAAUGUUGUUCUAUGAGCUGAACUGAAUUGAAAGAAGCUGCAGGUUUCUCAUUGAAGCUUUUACUAUUUUGCAAAUAGGCCGUUGCCUUGCAAUUUGGUAUUUACUCAAGUCAUUAGUACAGUCACAUCAAUAGCAAAUACAAGAUCUGCCUUUUACUCUACAACAUGAGCCCUCUGGAAUGUCCUUUAAAACUCUUGAAUUUCUGCAGGUCCUGAGUCCUUUUAGCACUUUGCCCAGGCUAAGCUACCUGACAGCUGUGUGGUAGCCUAUGUCACCAUUUCCUGUUUCAUGCUCUUCCAAAAGUCCAAAAAGACUGACUCUGAUUCAUAAGUGUUUUAGUUAUUGUAGAACAUCAAUAACACAGCUAAUAUUAGCACUGACUUUCACAAGCCCACCCGAUGUAUAAUGUAAUUCAAAAGUAUCAAUAUCAGUUCUGGAUUUAUUUCAGUGGUUUUAUUUAUAUUUAUACUUUAUAUCCACAGAUCCAAAAUUUUCCCUGCCAGUUUGUCCCAUUCUGGCUUCAGAUGUGAUCCUGGGGGCACAAAGUGCCCAAGUCAGUGUCAGCAAGACAAAUCAGUAGAUGAUGAUGUCAUGACCUCAUCAGCCAGUUACUUAGUUGAUAGGGUAAGUGGUUGUGGUAACCAUUUAGAAGUUUUUGAGGCUACUCUUCUCCACAAUCUUAUCAUGUAGGACUACAACGCAGACGUGAGGCUUGGUUUUUAUCUUGACAUGCACUGCUAAAUGUGGGUUCUUAUAUGCAAAGAUUUGUGUCUUUCAAAACAUUUUAUUCUGUUUACCGCAGUUAAAGGUAGGCAGAUAAACACAGCAACAGGAUGGACCUGACCAAAAUGUUAAGUGGCACAGCCUCAGGCACAUUUUAUGAAUUCGGUUUUAAGUAAUUUGCAAAUAUUUCUAAAAACAUGUUUUCACUGAGUAAUCACAUUAUUAUUGACAUUACUGAGUGUAUAUUAAUGGGGAUGCCUAAACACCCUUCUCUUUUUGUGUAAUUAAUGAAUAAAAGUCUUAGUUUAAAAUAAUAUUGCAACAAACAACAUUGUACACAUGAACCAGUUGUUAACAGGCAACACUUUAUGAAAAAUGAUCAGCAACCAGUGAAUUCCACGUGUUUAACUUUUAGUUGGUUGAAAAGGGAAAAGAGUAAAGAAAAAGGGAACAUGGUGCACUGCCACAGUAAACAGUGAACAGUCUGUUCUUUCAAACUGUCAUGCACUGUGCACAAAUCUUCCUCAUUUCUUUAUAUCUUGCUUCAAGGAAUCAGACUUUCUUGUGUUUUUAGUUUUUUUUCUACAGUAUCCCAAAGUCAUGUCAAGAAACAGGAAGAAAAUCAAGCAAAGACCAGACACAGGACCUGAGAGAUGCAUCUGACCUUUCAGUAGAUCUUCAAAGUUCAUCAGAAAGUAUUUCAGUGGAAGAGUGGUUGUCAAGUAGCCAUUCUUAAGGAAAGGAAAUGGGGAGGAAAGGCUGAGGAAUGCCAAAUCAGUGCCAAUAGGUCUUAUGAAGUGAUGAAUACAUUUUUUAAAAUAUUGGUUCAAUUAAUCAAUAACAUGAAUAAUAUGAAUUAUUCUAAAGGAGGUCAGGAGAGCGGUACAACAAAAUGUGCUUUUUGCUGAGUAGAUUGACAUUUGGGUGUCCCUAAUAAUGGAACAGUGAGGAAAACAACACCUUAAUGAUCCAGUGAGUUUUUGAACUAAUGAGUGUAAAUCAACAACGACAGCUCCAAGUAGCUGUUGGGAACAGUGUGGCUUUUGAGCUGUGAGAUAAUAUAUCUGCUUUAAAUAAGUAAUCUUAGCCGUGUAGGUGGGCUCACACUCCUCAGUGGGAAGUCUCCUGUAUGUGUUUGCAUUUGUCAACAUUCAUUUUGUAGUGAUGGAAACAUUUUUUUUUCCAGAUUGAGACUGCCGUGCUACAGAAGAACUUUUACCAGUUACCUAAGAUGCUUUUGAUCUGGGCAGAGUGAAGGGGACAUUCAUUUCAAAUGAUUUGCUUGUUUCAGUGAAUGCUUUUUGCAUGUGUUUCUGUGCGUACUUUUCUUCCCUCCACAUGUAAUCGCAUGAGAUGGCAACCUAGCUCUGGAAAAAAAAAAAAAGCGGCACCUUUGUGAAAUACAAAAAAGAAAAAGAAAGGGGAAAAAAAAUCUGAUCUGCCUCUGAAGAAACACCACCUUAUCUCAGAAACACUGGAGGCAGCUUGUCAAGCUUCUGAUGUUUUAUAUUCAGGGGUAAUAUCUGGAUUCAGAUGAACAGAGGAACCCAGGUGUAUCUGGCCACUGUCUGUGCAGGAUUCAAUCAAAGCCAAGUCAGAUUUGUUCUGUUUUUCCUUUUCCUUUGCUCCCUUGCUAUUUCUCUUAAUUUCACUUCAAUUCACUGUGCUCUAUUGGCAUGAAUGAUAGAUGAGCCGUGCUGCUGCAGCAUCUAACAAUAAACAGUUUUUGACCAUUUGUAUGAUUGUGUGUGUUGAUAUAUGUGUAUCUGUGCGUGUGCUAUAUAUAUAUAUAUAUAUAUAUAUAUAUAUAUAUAUAUAUAUAUAUAUAUAUAUAUAUAGAUUUUCUUUUUGUUUUCCACCAGGCAGAUGUCUUUGUUGUAGCUUCAUUUCCAUAUUUACCUUUUGUCUGCCUUCUCCUGUGAGACAUGAAAUCGCAUCUAAAACAAAUCAUCACGACUUAAACCAGCUUUGCUGUGUAGUUCUUCUGAAGCAUGGUUUUGCUUUGUUUUUCAUCAGUUUAAAGAAAUUUGUAUUUACAGUCUUCAGUGGCAUUCCUCUUUUUCCGAAAAACAUGUUUCCAUAUGAAAUAAUUAGGAAGAAUAAUUUCUGCAGA
ensembl:lncRNA